GAGUGAGGCUUCUCAUUUUCCAACUCUUUCCCUUUCAAUGAGAUAGGAUCCCUGGAGGCAGCUGGGGUUGCAAAUUUCCUCCGCCAUUCCCCAGGUCAAUUAAGCUAAACCCCAGCUAUUUAGCUUUCAGUUAAAUGGUUUCUCCUGUGGACAGACCUUGUUAAGGAUUGAAUGCUGUGGUGGGUAUUUUUCAAAAUGGAGUCUUUUCCCUUUCUUCUGCCAGAAGCACAAGAGGGGUCCAUGCUAAGCCUCCAGCAGUUCAUCAGCUACAGUUCCAAUUUCCCUGUUUGAUUCCUGCAGAGCUUCUGCUCUUGAAUUUCAGCUGACUUUGACUUCUUUGACACAUCAGCAGUGAGCAGAUUGAAUCUUGAAGGGUAUUUCUUGACUAGAGCGGUGAAUGAAUGAAAAUGAGAACAUGAUGCAUUCAGAAAAUGGCCCCACUUUCACUGCUCUGCUGCUGCCUCUUGACCAGAAGAUUGCCAACAAGAGUCUCCAGUGCGCUGACGUCGCCUUCGUGGGGCUUCUCUCAGUGCUUCUUGUCUGAAACUUUUACCCCCACCAAAGCACCAUGUGGGAAAUAUUGGAAUGGGAUGUCAGGUGUGACGCUGAAUUUUAAUCACCUCCUUAUUCAGUUUCUUCAGGAAAAAGAGGACAUGGACUUUGCCAUGAGGGAAAGGCCAUGUGUUGUUGAGGUAAGGACAUACGAUGCGGUAUAACACACAACACCUGUGUAAGAAGAGGCUUCUUUUGAGGAGCAGAUAAAAUUCCAAGGGCAAUAAUUCUGUCAGAUUUAGCUGAGAAACGGCCAACUGUCAGCUGGUAUCCAAGCUAGAUACAAGAGGAUAACAAACUUCAUUUCACUGUGCAAUCAACAUAAAGCGUUUUUAAUGGAAAAACAAACUAAGGACACUUAGAGUGCCCUAUUUUAUACACUUUGCUGCUUUACUUACUAUAAACACUGGCGAACUUAGAGGCAGUUAUUUUGGGUUUGCUUGUCUAAAUAUUGAGCUAGUAGGCAUUUGUUGAUCAUUGGUCCGUUUAAAGUCAACUGAACACAGCGAGAGAAAGGCGUGAAGAUUGAUGGACUGGGAUCUGUGGAUCAGUUGCGGUGUGGGCCAGGAAGAGCUUCUUGUGGUUUUGUUUGCACACUGAUUCAGAGCAGGUUAAAAUUGAGGGUAUUUUCUAAAUAAAACCUAUAAUUAAAAACUUGUGCAUCCUUUUCCAAUCUUCUGUUAAUUUAACUCAUUAGUGUUUUUUCAGGCUCUUGAACAGUGAAUUUUCUCUAAUGAAAUAAUUCUAGAAGAGGUUAUUGAAAUGAUCUCUUUGACGCUCUGAUUAAUAACCCAAAUCUUAUUCAAUUCCUGUAUCAAGGGCUGUUUGUCUCAUAUCUGAAGGCUCAGUUUUAUCCUGAAAUCUAGACCCAGUUCUUACUCUUAGCAGGAGAAAUUUCCCUAUUUCUCUAGCAUUUGUAGUUUUCUUGUGACAAUAUCUCAGCUCUUCCUUUUUGACCGAUACACUGCUUUGUACCGCAGUCUAUUCAGUAUCAGUGCAAUGCCUAAUUCUGUGUUUUGCCUAAACUCCUAUGAUAAUAUUCUGUUUCCAACUUCCUUCUAUAAUAGUGUUUUAACUAAGACUGUGCAUCAGAAUGAAUUGUGACGUUUUCCUGAAACAGGUUUUUAAGUCAUGCUUCAAUCAGAGUUGUAUGCAGAAGGUCAGGACUGGAAUUAAGAUUUCCAAAACUUUUAAAAAUGUUCACAGACCAUCUCCUAUUGCCAUGACUUUGCCCAAGAAUUUAUUUCAUCUCACCUCUAGCUUCCAUCCCACCUUUGUCUGAUCGAUUUACCAGCCAAUUGCUCUUAUGAUACAGAAAUCAAGAUCGCACAGUUAGAGCCUGGGCAGAAACAUUAAAAAAAAACACAGUAUACUUAUUUGUGAUGUAUGCUUAUAUAUGUUUAUACAGUUACUAUUGUGAAAAAUAAAUGUGUAUGUUUUGA